GACGAACGCUGGCGGCGUGCUUAACACAUGCCAGUCGAACGGAAAGGCCCUUCGGGGUCCUCGAGUGGCGAACGGGUGAGUAACACGUGGGUGAUCUGCCCUGCACUUUGGGAUAAGCCUGGGAAACUGGGUCUAAUACCGAAUAUGAUCAUCGGCUUCAUGGUCGGUGGUGGAAAGCUUUUGCGGUGUGGGAUGGGCCCGCGGCCUAUCAGCUUGUUGGUGGGGUAAUGGCCUACCAAGGCGACGACGGGUAGCCGGCCUGAGAGGGUGACCGGCCACACUGGGACUGAGAUACGGCCCAGACUCCUACGGGAGGCAGCAGUGGGGAAUAUUGCACAAUGGGCGCAAGCCUGAUGCAGCGACGCCGCGUGAGGGAUGACGGCCUUCGGGUUGUAAACCUCUUUCAGCACAGACGAAGCGCAAGUGACGGUAUGUGCAGAAGAAGGACCGGCCAACUACGUG
rnacentral:rRNA from 1 species